rnacentral:rRNA from 1 species
AACAGGAUUAGAUACCCUGGUAGUCCACGCCCUAAACGAUGUCAACUAGGUGUUGGGGAAGGAGACUUCCUUAGUACCGCAGCUAACGCGAUAAGUUGACCGCCUGGGGAGUACGGUCGCAAGAUUAAAGCUCAAAGGAAUUGACGGGGACCCGCACAAGCGGUGGAUUAUGUGGAUUAAUUCGAUGCAACGCGAAAAACCUUACCUACCCUUGACAUGCCAGGAACUUUCCAGAGAUGGAUUGGUGCCCGAAAGGGAACCUGGACACAGGUGCUGCAUGGCUGUCGUCAGCUCGUGUCGUGAGAUGUUGGGUUAAGUCCCGCAACGAGCGCAACCCUUGUCAUCAAUUGCCAUCAUUCAGUUGGGCACUUUAAUGAGACUGCCGGUGAUAAACCGGAGGAAGGUGGGGAUGACGUCAAGUCCUCAUGGCCCUUAUGGGUAGGGCUUCACACGUAAUACAAUGGUCGGUACAGAGGGUUGCCAACCCGCGAGGGGGAGCUAAUCUCAGAAAGCCGAUCGUAGUCCGGAUCGGAGUCUGCAACUCGACUCCGUGAAGUCGGAAUCGCUAGUAAUCGCGGAUCAGCAUGUCGCGGUGAAUACGUUCCCGGGUCUUGUACACACCGCCCGUCACACCAUGGGAGUGGAAUCUGGCAGAAGUAGGUAGCCUAACCGCAAGGAGGGCGCUUACCACGCUGGGUUUCAUGACUGGGGUGAAGUCGUAACAAGGUAACC